rnacentral:rRNA from 1 species
GAUGAACGCUGGCGGCGUGCCUAAUACAUGCAAGUCGAGCGAACAGACGAGGAGCUUGCUCCUCUGACGUUAGCGGCGGACGGGUGAGUAACACGUGGAUAACCUACCUAUAAGACUGGGAUAACUUCGGGAAACCGGAGCUAAUACCGGAUAAUAUAUUGAACCGCAUGGUUCAAUAGUGAAAGACGGUUUUGCUGUCACUUAUAGAUGGAUCCGCGCCGCAUUAGCUAGUUGGUAAGGUAACGGCUUACCAAGGCAACGAUGCGUAGCCGACCUGAGAGGGUGAUCGGCCACAAUGGAACUGAGACACGGUCCAGACUCCUACGGGAGGCAGCAGUAGGGAAUCUUCCGCAAUGGGCGAAAGCCUGACGGAGCAACGCCGCGCGAGUGAUGAAGGUCUUCGGAUCGUAAAACUCUGUUAUUAGGGAAGAACAAAUGUGUAAGUAACUAUGCACGUCUUGACGGUACCUAAUCAGAAAGCCACGGCUAACUACGUG